rnacentral:rRNA from 1 species
AUGAACGCUUGCGGCGCGCCUAACACAUGCCAGUCGAACGAUUAAAGCACCUUCGGGUGUGUAUAAAGUGGCGAACGGCUGAGUAACACGUGGGCAACCUGCCCCUUUCAUUGGGAUAGCCACGGGAAACCGUGGAUAAUACCGAAUACUUCGAGACUUCCGCAUGGAAGACUCGAGAAAGCUCCGGCGGAGAGGGAUGGGCCCGCGGCCUGUUAGCUUGUUGGUGGGGUAACGGCCUACCAAGGCAAUGAUGGGUAGCUGGGUUGAGAGACCGACCAGCCAGAUUGGGACUGAGACACGGCCCAGACUCCUACGGGAGGCAGCAGUGGGGAAUCUUGCACAAUGGGCGAAAGCCUGAUGCAGCGACGCCGCGUGCGGGAUGAAGGCCUUCGGGUUGUAAACCGCUUUCAGCAGGGACGAGGCGAAAGUGACGGUACCUGCAGAAGAAGCCCCGGCUAACUACGUG